CACUAUCUGUGUUUUUGUUCAGGUUUAUGCAAAAAUGUGGUCUUUCAUCGUCAUGUGCGUAUUGUAUUUUUGCUCAACCAGCCAAUAGCAACGGUUUUGUCCAAUUGCCCAUCCAUGACUUUAACAAUAGGACAUUUUGAACAUUCCUAUUGGUUGACUUGAGAAAAAUACAAUGCGCACGUGACGAUGAAAGACCACAUUUUUGCAUAAACCUGAACAACAUAGAUAAUGAGGU
rnacentral:miRNA from 1 species